GACGAACCCUUGCGGCGUGCUUAACACAUGCAAGUCGAACGGAAAGGCCCUGCUUUUGUGGGGUGCUCGAGUGGCGAACGGGUGAGUAACACGUGAGUAACCUGCCCUUGACUUUGGGAUAACUUCAGGAAACUGGGGCUAAUACCGGAUAGGAGCUCCUGCUGCAUGGUGGGGGUUGGAAAGUUUCGGCGGUUGGGGAUGGACUCGCGGCUUAUCAGCUUGUUGGUGGGGUAGUGGCUUACCAAGGCUUUGACGGGUAGCCGGCCUGAGAGGGUGACCGGCCACAUUGGGACUGAGAUACGGCCCAGACUCCUACGGGAGGCAGCAGUGGGGAAUAUUGCACAAUGGGCGGAAGCCUGAUGCAGCAACGCCGCGUGCGGGAUGACGGCCUUCGGGUUGUAAACCGCUUUCGCCUGUGACGAAGCGUGAGUGACGGUAAUGGGUAAAGAAGCACCGGCUAACUACGUGCCAGCAGCCGCGGUGAUACGUAGGGUGCGAGCGUUGUCCGGAUUUAUUGGGCGUAAAGGGCUCGUAGGUGGUUGAUCGCGUCGGAAGUGUAAUCUUGGGGCUUAACCCUGAGCGUGCUUUCGAUACGGGUUGACUUGAGGAAGGUAGGGGAGAAUGGAAUUCCUGGUGGAGCGGUGGAAUGCGCAGACAUCAGGAGGAACACCAGUGGCGAAGGCGGUUCUCUGGGCCUUUCCUGACGCUGAGGAGCGAAAGCGUGGGGAGCGAACAGGCUUAGAUACCCUGGUAGUCCACGCUGUAAACGGUGGGUACUAGGUGUGGGGUCCAUUCCACGGGUUCCGUGCCGUAGCUAACGCUUUAAGUACCCCGCCUGGGGAGUACGGCCGCAAGGCUAAAACUCAAAGGAAUCGACGGGGCCCCGCACAAGCGGCGGAGCAUGCGGAUUAAUUCGAUGCAACGCGUAGAACCUUACCUGGGUUUGACAUGGAUCGGGAGUGCUCAGAGAUGGGUGUGCCUCUUUUGGGGUCGGUUCACAGGUGGUGCAUGGCUGUCGUCAGCUCGUGUCGUGAGAUGUUGGGUUAAGUCCCGCAACGAGCGCAACCCUUGUUCACUGUUGCCAGCACGUUAUGGUGGGGACUCAGUGGAGACCGCCGGGGUCAACUCGGAGGAAGGUGGGGAUGACGUCAAGUCAUCAUGCCCCUUAUGUCCAGGGCUUCACGCAUGCUACAAUGGCUGGUACAGAGAGUGGCGAGCCUGUGAGGGUGAGCGAAUCUCGGAAAGCCGGUCUCAGUUCGGAUUGGGGUCUGCAACUCGACCUCAUGAAGUCGGAGUCGCUAGUAAUCGCAGAUCAGCAACGCUGCGGUGAAUACGUUCCCGGGGCU
rnacentral:rRNA from 1 species